rnacentral:tRNA from 1 species
CACCUGCCUUGGGAGCAGGGGGUCGGAGGUUCGAAUCCUCUCGCCCCGA